AAGGUUGCUCUUUUUCUCUGCUCCCUCUCCACUGUCAAUGUGCUGAUGGACAGAUGAGAUUAAAUGGCAUCCUCCUGACUCUCCAUCUCUGCCUGGAUAUGGUGACAACUGUGCUGCUAUUAACACCUUAUUCUUGCAAUAUCAUUUUUGUAAAUAGUUUUCUGUAAAUAGUUUUUUCAAAUAAACAGUUUCUGUAAAAUAA